rnacentral:misc_RNA from 1 species
ACAGUGUAUGCAUUUACGAAUUUGAAGCUAAGGAUUACUCCUAUGCAAACCAUAACUUCUGAUGCCAAUAAAAUUUGCCUGUCCUCAAACAUGUUACUAAUGUAGCUUCCAACAACAAUAUUUACUGGAAGAACUGUUAGGCCUAGACAUGCAAGAAAAAUUGCCACUGUGCUUGUUGACCAACCAAAGUAGUAUGAGGUAAUUACACUCGAUUCUGAGAGUAAAAUCUCCAUGGCAUAUUUUAGCAUGAAAUAUAUCAACAACUGAACCUUUACAGAGGGCGUAAGUAGCCUGUAUGCUGAAGUAAUUGAAUUGGCAGGCUGUCGAGAUUCUUCAGGAGCUUCUUCACUGCCAUCACAUUCUCCAUCAGCAUUUUCAUCUUCUUGCUUGCCUUCUGAACUCAACAGUAAUGG